CCGGCAGCAGCUUCCUGACUCUCUUCGGUGACGGGUAUUCUUGGGUGGAUAAUACGGAUUACGUUGUUAUUGCUUAAGAAUACGCGUAGUCGAGGAGAGUACUCGCGGCAGGGCGGGUGG
rnacentral:pre_miRNA from 11 species